ensembl:lncRNA
GCUGGCAUCAGACAUUCAAUCAGAACAAUGCAACACUCUUUGCAAUAAUGGACUUCCUCAAGACUAACACCGGUGAAAUAAUGGAUUACAUUUACACUGAAGCAGGAAAGAACUAUGAACAGAGAAAAUGUAGACAUACAAACAGAAAGAAAGAUUGCGAGAUGAGAGUUUCUCUGUUGUCCACUACGGAGAGAAAGAGCUAGGGCAUUUUAACAAGGCCAAGCCCAGGGCCCUCCAAGCCAGAACACUGAAGCAGAAAAGUCAAGUGCAUAUAAAAGACUAAAACAAACACAUGGGACAUUGGAUCUGAGGCUUCUUUUUAAAACACCCUGCUGGAUUUAUAGGGCUUGUAGCUGUUGGGAAAAAUGAUCGUUCCAUUGUUUCAGCUUUCUUCUAUCGCUGCCCCAUCCCCACCCUUGGUACCAUUCCAUGUGUGAUGAGGUCAGAAAGGAGGGAACCAACAGAAUCGCACAAUAUCCAUCCGAAUGUAGAAGAACACAGCCGAAUGUAGAACACCACAGCCGAACACAGCCAAAUAACACAGCCGAAUGUAGAAGAACACAGCCGAAUGUAGAACACAGCCGAAUGUAGAACAACACAGCCGAAUGUAGAACAACACAGCCGAAUGUAGUCUAGUAAUAAGAAUUCUACAACAUUUCUGCAAUACAGGUGGAUAAACAUUUAAUCCAGCAAAACUGCAUUAUCUACCUAGAAGUAUUUUGUCUUCGGUUAGAUUAGAUUGUUAUUCAAACAUUCCAAAUCCCUACAAACCCAUGACAACAAUAUCAUUAAAGAUAAUACGAGCACAGACUCAUUGCUUUAAAAGCAAAUAACUGACAUCAUGCAUGAACAAUUAGGCGUGGCCAGUUUUGAAAUCACAAUUGACAGUGAGAACUGUUAUCAGUAACUGUAUCAAUAUGUUAUGAACACAGCAAUCACUGUGGCACCUUUUUUCCUGAUGAGUGAUUAAGAGAGUUAAGAUAGCGUUGCAGGGACGUGAGAGGUGGUAAACUUCAAGGAGAUGGAGCAAUUGUUCUCCCAAUCCCUUAAGGCCAGGCACACCAGAUGCAUGUGUGCUGCUCACACGCUUCCAAACGCAGGGUUGAACUGCACCCAUCUCUGAUGAUACAAGGCAGACAUGUCUGUGAAGGUUCAUAACAGAACCAGAGACAGAGAGUGGGACGCCCAUCUGGACAUGUCUUCAGGGGUAACAAGAGCCAGAAAUGCACCUGCUGGACUAGGCAACUGUACGCUAUGACAAAGCACCGGAAGAACUAGGUCUGGCACUUCAGCCCGUGGGUGAGGCAGACUGAACAGGACACAUACAAGCAGGAGUGUUCAGAAGAGAGGAAAACAAAGUAACGAGGGCAAUUAAACGAGUAUCUAACAGAUAAAGAAAUGACCAGUAUAUUUUGGGACCAUGAAAUGUCCUCUGUAGCCCCCAAAAUGGCCAUCAAAAUGAAUUGAUGAAAUGACUUGAUAUCAAUACAUUACAUUUCUGCAACAGUUUUCUAAAGCCAGGUGAAGUGGGGAAUUUCAAGUUUCACUGCCUCAUUUGUUGUGUGUAGUCAUGGAAACAAAACAUAUGACACAACAUCGAUACUUGAAGCCAAAGCCAGAGGGAAGGGGGAAGGGGAGGGGCAGGACCGGUUCCAACACACUCUCUCAACCCGGAGUAGUUACACUUAUGACACUCAGAAGGCCUUAUCAAGGUCAAAAGGUAGCUUUGACUUCACAGGACCAAGCCAGCUGGUGAGACCAUUACCUCCAGCUGAGCUCCAAAUACAACAGAAAUGAAUUUUAACCUACGAUACACAAGUUGCAUAGGUGUCUUGAAACUAAACCACUAAUAUGCGCACUGUCGAUAUGAAGUGGAGUGUCUAAAAUCUACAUCAGUGGUAGGUAUUUAAUAUACCACUUGCCUUGAAUGUAUAAAUGCUUUAUAUAUACAUCAUUUGCCCAUAUUGUCACGGAGGUUUUCAUUAAUGUCUAGAGUCUAGUGUCUUGGGUUCCAUUGACAUUUUGUGAGCUGUCCAUUGUAGAGCUAGGUUUAUAACAAUGCAUAGUUCUAAUCGACCAGAUAAAACAAGUAUUCUACAUUAAGAAAGAUGCCUGAGGAAAAAAAUAAAUCAAAGCUCCUAAAGCUUGUAAAAAUGGACAGAGAAUGGUAAGUAUGUGUGUCUGUGUGUCUUUGCAUGUGCGUGUGUUUGUCACACAACUCUCUGAAUACCUGAGAGACAAAAGCAGUCCCUGAAGUCACUUCAGAAGGUUUAUGUAAGCCAGGCUGAAAGUAAAAAGCAUCGGCGCCCUCAAGGCAGAGAUGUUUUGUGCCUACCGAGGGAAGAACCACCCGUUUCCCCCGAUGAGUCAAACUCCUUCACCACCAUUCUGCCUACGGUAAUGAUCAUUAUCAUUCCUCCACUGUGACAGCCAUGACACACGCACAGUCACACAAACAUGAUGUCUGACUCCCAUCCAACAGUGGCCAGUAUAUAAUCAUCCGUGCCAGAUGAGAGAUCUGUCGUCAU